rnacentral:tRNA from 5 species
GGUGAGGUGUCCGAGUGGCUGAAGGAGCACGCCUGGAAAGUGUGUAUACGGCAACGUAUCGGGGUUCGAAUCCCCCCCUCACCGCCA